rnacentral:tRNA from 1 species
GCCCUAGUAGCUCAGCGAA